rnacentral:rRNA from 1 species
UACGUAGGGUGCAAGCGUUGUCCGGAAUUAUUGGGCGUAAAGAGCUCGUAGGCGGUUUGUCGCGUCGAAUGUGAAAACUCGGGGCUCAACCCCGGGCCUGCAUUCGAUACGGGCAGACUAGAGUUCGGUAGGGGAGUCUGGAAUUCCUGGUGUAGCGGUGAAAUGCGCAGAUAUCAGGAGGAACACCGGUGGCGAAGGCGGCACUCUGGGCCGACACUGACACUGAGGAGCGAAAGCGUGGGGAGCGAACAGG